UUGGCCUGUAUUAUGUCAAACAAAGAUCCCAGUUUGCAAGAGAGAGAGGAAUUACAGUUCUUUUGGUUUUUCCUGUUGUUGCUGCCCUUGUUGUUGGCUUUGGUUUUGAUUUAUUUAUUUUUUUUGCUGGACACAUUGCUGCAGGACAUAUUAGUAAAGAAAAGGGGAUUCUAGUAGUGCCUGCCCACAUCUUUGAUUUUAGUGGUCAAAAUUUAUUUCCCUGGAUACACACUGAAAUUUUUUUCUAUUUUUGCUUCCCCCUUCCUGAGGGAUUUUGUUUCGCCCAUAAACAGUUUUCCUUCAGGCAAAGAAUGCAAUCAUUUAUCACAUUUUUGAUUUUCUUAAUUACCUUCACAUUCUAGUCUUGCCUCUGGGGCCUUUUUAUUCGUUGUGCACGAUGCCUGGAGUCUAAGAGCUUUUCAGGGGUCUGAAUAUUUUAAACCUGAAAAAAAUGUAUUGGCUUCUAAAUGCACAAAGAAAACAGUGAUAUCAAAACUCAUUAAAUAUUUAGUUAAGUGUCUCUGAACUAUAUAGUUAUGUUCAUACAUUAAUUGUUAAAUUUAGUAUUCACAAAAAUGUUAUUAUGCUUGAAAUAUAUUUGCAGAUUAUGGUGUCACUUUCCUGAGUAUGCAUACUGAUUACACAGAAAUCAUAGCCAACCAGCAAUGAAAUGAUUUACUCCAAGCUUUAGAGGACAUUACAGUAAACUCUCCACACCCUUUCCAGCCAGAUGAUCAAUCCAAGCCCUUCACAGGACCUGUACUUCUGAGUCACAUGUGGGGACUUUUUUUUUGGCUGAUUAAGCUGGCAGCAAUAAGCAGCAAAGCAGAUAAACUCUGGGUACAAAAAACUGCAAACCAGAUGCUUUCCCAAGAGCUCUCUCCGUUUGACACAGAAUUCUUAUUUCAAGAGGAAUCAUUUUUGCUUUUUCUUAGGGGCUUGGCACCCUGCCUUCCCUCUCUGCAAAGGAGGGAAAAUGUCUUUUAUUUUGUACUUCCGCCUUUUCCAGUUGCUGUGGGAAGCAAAGUCCAUCCUCCUUUGGAGGCAGAGGCCAGGAGCUGCAUAAGCAUGGAGAGCCACGCUCUGGAACUGACGCAUGCGUGGUGCACAGCUAAGACAUCCACGUGUGGAGCCUGCAGAACUAACGAGUACAUGCACGCCUGGCCCGGUUGGCUCCCUCUUCCACAUGCCAGUGAAGUGUUAGACACCAGUAGCAAGCCAUUGGGGUUGUUGGGCAAUCUCUUUUCCUUGUCUGCUUCUCCACCCUGAGCGCAUACCCUUGCCUCUGGCAAUAGCCUUAUAAUUAUCACGUGAUCAGCACAUACGCAUCACAGUAUACUGAGUGUUUCACGCAGGCCAUCCCUUCUGGAGAAGGAGCAGUGAAGAGGCUGGGAGCGCAGACUUUUAGGCACCUGACCGGGACAGGCAUUAGAGAAGGGCCCUGUACUUGGCUUAUGGUUUGAAGCUUUCUGGAAUUAUUUAAUGACCAUUUUCCCAUAGCUUUUGCCUCCUGGAGUUUUCCUCUUGGCAAGCUGAGGCUAGAAAGCGAGUCAUGACAUGCCCAGUGUGGUGGAGGAGUGGUACCAGCGUGGAUCUGAGGUUUCGUCAGCCUUCCUGCUCCCUCUCAGAACCUCUGUCCCUGAGUCACCAGCACUAGCCCUAGGAGAGGAGUGGCAGGGCGCUGGGAGGAGGUGACCCAUGUGAGCAUGAGUGUGAGUUGGAAACUGCAUGGGAGAGCUGCUGGCUGCUGUGCAUUAUUUUACCUGCUGCUUUAGGAUAAGCAGGAGCCCUCAGAAGUAAAAACAUGUGGCUUUUUUUUUUCUUGGACCUUCGGAAACCCAGUGAUAAAAUAGAAGAGUAACCAAUGAAACUCUCUCUGAAGCACUAAUAAGCUUAAUGCUAACUGCAGUAGUAUUCCUGGAGGAAGAUGCUAUUUGAUUUUCAGUGCCUUUAGUGUUGCCAUUUUUGCUUACAAAGAAGUGAGAUAAAUGAAAGCGAUGGCGCAGAUUAAGUAAAUUCUUUUGUGGGAAAAGCCUGAGUUCUCAUAUGCUUUCAGUUAUUUUAGUCUCUUGAUCAUAUCAAAUGAUACUUAGCAUCUUGUUUUCAUAAGUGGACAAUGUUAUAGUUUAUUUCUAUUAGCAAUUAGGAAUUACAAUGUAGAUGCCAGAUCAGUAGUAUAGAAAUUAAGUACAGAUUCGCCCUAAGGCAACUUUACUUUUGUUGGUCAACGACAUGGUGAGUAGUAGAGAAAAGAUUGUUUGAAAUAUAAUUAAGUGAAUGGAAGCCAUUGCUGUAUGAUUCUAAUGGAUGUGGAUUCUUUGUAGGAGAAUAUAUCUGUCGUCAUCUACAGUGAACAUUUAUUUAAUUUCCAGUCUCCUAACUGGAGCUAGGAACUUCACAGAAGGAAGAUCAUGGAAUCAACACAAAGUUGUUGAGUGCCAGCUCUGUCUAGGAUACUGCUCUGAUCACCUCCUAUUCACCCCGUCAUUGAAGGAGGGAUUCCUCACACGAAGUAGUACAAGAUGGCCAAACAUACCACACCUGGCCCUGGACAGAUGAGAUGGACAGCAGGUUAUUAGCCACAUAUACUCACAGCCUGUGGGAAGACAUCACACACCACGUAGGGCCGCGUGGGGGUUGCUCUUGGGAGUUGAGUAAAUAAGCAGGGGCGGGAGGAGGUAGGCUUUCUAUUAACCAGAGGGUAGGGUGACCCCUGGUUCCGGCGGGAGGAUGUGAUUGGCUAGUUUGAACAACUUCAUGGCUGACAGGGAACUAAUAUCCAUCAGGUUGAGGACCGGGGGAAUGAAGCUGGUGGGGUUAAUAGGGGAACUACCCAAGUGGGGUGCCUUACCCACUGGGUGGGGGACAUCUGGCAAAAGCAGGAGAACUUAUGGUUAGGCUUCUGGGGCCCCGUGGGGCUCGAAGAUGUCAAGGUAGCCCAUGAAAUUUUAGGCCUUACGCUAUAGAUACAAAAGAAGAAUAAGACAUGUUUCCUGACUGAAAAGAGCUUGAAUUCUCCAGGCCGGGGUGGGAGUUGGGGAUGGAGGUGUGGGAGUGUCACACUGUUGUAAAUGCUUCUGUCGGUAAAAGCGCGGGAGGACUUCUGAGCAUAUCCAGGAAAUACGGUACAGUGACUGCGACGGGUAGACUUCAUAAAAAAACAUGGAGCUUGGGACUUCCCUGGCGGUCCAGUGGUUAAGACUUCACCUUGCAAUGCCGGGGGUGUGGGGUUCGAUCCCUGGUCAGGGAGCUAACAUCCCACAUGCCUCGUGGCCAAAAAAACCAAAAAAACAUAAAACAGAAGCAAUAUUGUAACAAAUUCAAUAAAGACUUUAAAAAUGGUCCAUAUCAAAAAAAAAGAAAAUAUGGAGCUUGUCUAGAACGUCAAAGGUGGGUAAGAUGCACAGUUAGUCGGGAGCCAAAUCAGGAGUCAUUUCAGAAGAGGAAUGAGAUUAAAAAGUUCUUGCUUAUGUUUAAAGAACAUUCAGUUCACGUAUUUGACAUAUACUUACUCGGGGGCACAGACAGCACAGAGGAUAGGGUAAGAAAGAAGCUCUAAGGACAGUGUGGGCCUUGCCUGUCAGGCUGUCUGGUCCGAGUUGGGCAUGAACUAUGGGCAGUGGUGUCCCAGGAAGGCCAGAGCCUACCAUUCCCUGAGGGCCUCAAAUGUAGACUUUGGCUAUAAGCUCCAAUGAGGUAAAACAACCCCAGAAAUACAGCAAUGGGAAAAAAAGAUGUUCAAUUUGUAGCUGUAAUUGUUGCAAAUAUUUAAAAUAUGCCACAAUUUCAAUACCUUUUUCAGCAUUUAUUUUAUAAUACACCAGGACCCUGAAAAUAAAUGGAAGUAGGCCUGGUGUCCCUCAACUUCAGAAAGGCCCUACCGGCCAGAUGGCUCCCGGUGGCAUCCAGCCCACCUUGGUCAGGGCCCAUCUCUGCACUCCCUCCCCUUGGGUCCGUGCCAGGCAUUCCCAUCUCAGAGCCCCUGGAGAACUCUGGGCCUAUUCUCUCCUGUGGAGCAGUGGGUACUUAAUGCUCCAGCCAACUGAGCUACCCAGUGUGUACGGGCUGCCACAAGCAAAGACAGAAGCCUCUAAAUUACUGAAGGGAGCACUGUGUUCUUCCCAGUACAGGGCAGUCGUUUUUGGGUUGUCCAGUACGAGUGUGUACCCUCUAAGAUAUUUAUCAGAGACUCAUUUCACCUCUUGUACUUGGCAGCCAAAGCACAUUGAUGCAUGCUAACAUGUCCUCCGGUUUGCUCUAAUUUUAUAUCCUAAACACCCCCUGAGAGAAAAGAUAAAGGGGUGUUCUUUGGCUCCAGGAAAUUCAGUGGGACUUAACUUUCUUUUCCUGAAUGAAUGACUAUGUGCUAUGUAUUAUUUAUUUGUGAAACACCAAACAGUUUAGCUGGGAUGAUAUAAAGAAAAAGAAACCUUGCCAUAUCUUCAGGAAUCAACAAUGACAACAACGGAAAACUUCAAACAUGAGAGAGAGAAGAGAAAACCUUUCAUGGAUACAAUUAUCCCAGUUGGCAGCAAUCAGGUCCAAAAGCUAUAAUACAAAAUAGCUCCAAUUCUCAUGGCAAGAAAUGAACUUGUUCCAGAAUAAAUGGCUGUAUAGAUGAGUCCAAAGAGUUCCAGCACAACCAAAUUAAUAGUUUGAGUUGGGGGAGGGGUGUGUGUGCGCAAACAUCACAUUAGCCAUUCUGAGAACUGUUUGCAGAUUUUAAAGACAACUACUUUCACGAUGACCCCAUGGGUGAUGAUGUUCUCAGGUCUGGACAUCAGGAAGUCUUUAAGUAUGUACUAGAUCAGUCAGAAGGAAGCCACGGUGACCCUAAACGCAAUUAUGAGUUCAGUUGACACCUCAGUAGGAAAACAAAGUAUCCAAAGUCUGUUAAAGACUCACUAAAGCAUAUAAUGUCCUGGAACAGGGCAUCAUUGUACUGUACAUUCUUGCAGGAGGUGGAACAUUUCAGAUCUGUUCUUUCAGACGAGAUUAUUUGGGAAACGAGUGUCUAAGAAUCGUAAGACUGAGAUAAAUGCCCACUUAAAUCCUGAAGAAAUUCUGAUUUCGUCUUUGGAUUGUGGUUUUCUUUGGAAGCCUGAGUUGCUUUUGAACCACAGUGCAUACUUAAAACUGACCAAAGGGGCUUUCACAUGAAUCUUGGGGAGAUAUAAAUGUGAGAUUAGAGGAUACUGGACUCUGAAGUAAUGUGGGAAUUGCUAAAACACUAGUUGAGGCCCUGGAUCUAUUAGUGUCUCUGCUCCCGACUGGCCUGGUGAGCUUUUGAGCCAUUCCUCCUGACUCAGGAGGUACUAUGGUUUCCUCUUUCUCUCUCACUCAUAAAAAUAUAUUAUCUGGAAACUAAGGUAGCCAUAUGAAAGAGGAAAGAGUAAUCACACAAACAAAUGCACACAACUUCAUUCUGAGAGUACCAGAAGGUUCAUUUGUAAAUCAGUACUUGUACAUUACACAUGCACAAGCACGCACACGUGCACACACACAUACACACAAAUUCAUUUUUAAAAUUAGAGUAUUACAUUUGCAGAAAUGCAUUUGUUUUAAAUCCAAAUAUCUUAUUUACUUAAUGGCCUGUAAGUGGCUACUUUAGUGUGUCUGAUGAAAAAUACAUGACCAUACCUGAAAAAGCUUACGUCAGAAAAGAGCCCAGAUUACUGACACAGCACUAUGCCCAAUGUAUAUAUAUUUAAAGCACAUAAACAGAUAAACUUCAGCUUUUUGUUAGAAAUGUUCAUUGAAUAAGUAGAAAGAGCUCAAAACAAAUAUAAAAAAAGGACCUGCAUUAAAAAAUCAUCUAUGUUCAAUUCAGUUAUUCAAAAAUGCUUAUCUUUAAGUCAGCAGUAUUUAAUUUUAAUUUGGAAAAUGUCUUAAAUUUUGACAGCAUGCCUGAGUGAGAAUGUGCAAAUCAUAUACAAUCCCCAUGGAGAUGACCCGGUGACCUUUGCAUUUUAUUUAGGUCAGUGUGGCCAGCAGGGCCUGCUUCUUCCUCCUCCAUGCAAAUGCUGUGAAGAGAAGAAGAAACCUGCAACCAGACAGGAGUGAGGAGUGGGGACGUAGGAGAAGCCCAGCAGGGCGGGGAGCCGGGAAAGCCUGCCCUGGGGAGCCCCAAGGCUUUCUGGGCCUGCAGUGGUGCAGCCACAGACAGACUGUUUAAACACUGUCCGCGUGCCUGGGUGGUGCGGUGGGUCCACAUGGCUACCGCCUGCUCCCCCAGCCUCAUGGGUGGACAUGUGUAUCACCCAACAUGUGCUUGAUGAUUUCUACUCAUCAAGGGAGUAGAAAUACAAUUCUAGUUUUCUCAGAUGAGGACUAUUUACAGUUAUCUCAUCUCCCAGCUUUCUGCUUGGCCCCCGCUCUGGGCCUCCCUCUCUGCCAAAUGAUGCUGGGUGAGAUUUCAACACUCCCAUCCGAUCCCCUGGCUCCUCCAUGAGGGCCCUGGGCUGACUACCUAAAGGGCGAACCCCUUAGCCUGACAUCCAAGCCCCGCUGCAAGCUGGUCCCAGCCUUCAGCUCUGGCUGUGGAUCCCCUCCAUGCAUUUGCAGCUGCACAGUCUUCUACAAACGUACUUUUCCUUUCCUUUUAUUUUUUAUUGAGGUAUAAUAUGUAGGAAGUUCAUUCAUCACAAGCGUAUGGCCUUACGAUUGUCACACACGUCUGCAUCCAUGGUUAACCACACCCAGACCGAGACGUAAAACAUUCCCUCCACACUAAGUUUCCUGGCCUAUACACACCCCACCCAUCACCCUGGGUUUUGCCUGUUUUUAAACUUUAUAUGAAUAAAAUGAUACAACAUGUA